GCAGAGAAAAAGGAGGAAGAGAAAAGGGAUCCGGGAAAAGGAGAGGAAGGGAGAUGCCAGAGGGGGGAAAAGACAGAACAAGAGCUAGAGAAAAGCGAGGCGAAGAGAAACGGAAAACCGGAGGGAAGAGCACAGUAAAGGCACCAGGCCUAUUCUUUGUACUUUUUCACCACAAUUACACUUUAUCACUGCAAAUCAAUGAUCAAAGAGGAAACAAGAAGCAAACAACAAAACUACAUUUCCCUUCAACUGGUUUUACUUGCAGCUUGGAUUCUACCACCAUUGUAAGUAGUAGAUAAGGGUGGACAAUUAGUCACACUUCUCCAAUUGAUGCGGACCAUUUUGACAUCUGUGAGUUUAUUAUUUAAGGACCAAAUGCUGAAGUCCUUCCUUGCUGAAGACAAUUGGAAUUUUGCCUAAGGGCUGGAGAAUUUGGCCCUCAUUAAAACUUAGCACUGCUUAAGAAACUGGUUUUGGGGUCUGCUUCUGCAGCUCCAGAAGUCAGUGGCUGGUUUGAGAACACAAAGACGGCAGGACAGGCCCUUAUAAUUCAGUGGAACUUCUGUACCAUACAUUGAACUCUGUAUUGCUUUUCAUCAAUUUAAUGGAAUUUUACUUUCUGCUACUAGUUUUUGUAUAAAAAUAAUAUGAAUAUAA